rnacentral:lncRNA from 1 species
GAACAAAAGAGUGAACUACUAUCUAGGCAUGAUAUGAUUAAGAUUAAUAAUCAACCACAAGUAAAUAUUUGGAUGUAUCCAAAUAUUUUAUAAUGGUUAACAAUAAGCAAAGACUAAACACAAAUCAUAACAACUAUUAGCAAGCAUUUCUAUGGAAAAAGACAAACCAAUGCUAUCACAAAAAUAAUUGGCAAAUUAAAUAACCAGACACAUCAUACAAGGCAUGUGAGUAUAGAAUCGUGAAGAGGUCUUAUCUAAUAACAAAAGCAUUAAACAUAUGAGUGACCAUGAGAAGAUACUAAACUAGGACACUCUUUAUAAUAAAGGAAACAACUAAUAUCCAAAUGACCUCUAGCAUAAAUAUUACCACAACAUGAUUAACAACAAAGCAACAAUGUGCACUAAGCAUAUGAGAAGGACACAACUCAACUAUUGAAAGGUGAACUAUCCUAAUCAUGUGAUGAACUAAUGCAACAUGUGCCAAACACUCAUAACACUAACAUGAGACAAGUCAAGCAUAUAUGAGCAACACAAGUACAACUAUAACACAUGGAAUAUAAUAACACAUGAAAGAUAACUAGCAUGACUUCAUGUCUAGACUUAGGCAUACCACAAAUGCAACAGUAAGCUAAAGCAGAUAUGAUGCUAAGCAUGGAUGAUCAUGACACGAGAUACCAAAAUAUGCUAUUAAUAAAAUGCAACGUGUAACUAUGAGAUAACCUAGUUGACAACGAGUGACCUAAAGAUCAAGCACGACGUUAGCAUACAACAAUACCAUGCUAGUUAUGAUAUAUGAGAACAUGGAAGCAUACUAAGCACGUAGGAAAGUAUAGAACUAGAUCAUCUCAUCAACCAAAUCAGCAUGUGUUAUAGAAGCAUGAAUAACAAGAUGACAUGCAUUUCUAUGUAGUCAUCAUACACUUGCAAAUAUAUAAAAGGUACACAACUAAGCAUCAUACAACACACAGAUUGGUACACACACGCGUUAUGCAAUGAAGUUGUAUAAUCGAUCAUCAUGACAUGGUAUUGAUAAGGCAAGAAAUUCCUAAAUAAAAGAAUGUAUGGUAUCAACAAAUCACUAUGAUAUAUCUACCAAGUAAACAUUAACCAAAUGUAUGAACAUAACGUACAAACUACCAAUGAUAUAACACAUGGUAGGCAUACAACCAAAUAUGCCUUCUACUUGAGUAAAUAUUAAUAUGACAUGUCAAUCAACUAAGCAUGCAUAGCUACUAUCCUAGGUAAAUAUAACACGUUUGCUAAUUACCAAGAAACAAUAAACUGAACUCUAUGUCACAAUGAAUAAAUUCUAUAUAAAAUGCAAAUAUAACAAUGACAUAAAGCAACUAUCCAUGCAAUACUAAACAAUAAACAUCUAUAAAAUCGCGUUAACAAUUUUGCUACUAAAAUAACACAUAAAACAUGACAUGUCACACAACUUAGGAAAGUGAGAAAGUGAUCUUGAACCACGCAUGAUGUGAUAGAUAAUUAAAAUGCUAAUAGAGUGCCUACAACAAGUAAUUCAUCACAACCAUGGCUAUGUUCUAAGUUAACAUGCCAAUUCAAGACAACUACUAUAAAGAAACUAAACAACAAAAUAAUAGAUUGACGGACCACUAUCAUAGGCAUGACAUGAUUUUGAAUAUAUAAAACACACAUGCUACAUGGAUGUAAAUGAAUAUAGAAAAUAUAUCUAAGAUAUAUUCAUGCUAAACAAAAUAAAUAAUCAAAACAUUAAAUAUUCCAUUAUUCGAUACAUAAAGCAAAGUUUAGAAUAAUUCCACAUAAAUAUAACCAUGUCGAGCGUUCACCAAUUAUUGUACGCUCGCAAACAAUAAGUAUCAAACAUAACCAAAAUAAUGAUAAUAAGAUUACACUAAUAAUGCUCCAAAUCUAAUUAAAAUAAUAACACACGCUAAUCAUGUACGAGGGAUGAUAACUAAUGCACCAAUCAACUCCUACAUAAGGAAAUAACUCGAAGGAACUAAUAGAAAGGCAUAUCAUACUUUUAGAUGAUGCACAAAGUUAUCUACACGAAAUGCUACAAAAAAAAUAAAAUGCACCUUCAAAUCAAUCGAGUAAACCAUUUGAUACUCCUAGGCAUAACGAGAGACAUAGAAAUAACAUACCAAUAGAAAAGUUUUACCAACACAAAACCUAUUUGGAUUCCAUACAAAAAACGACUAAGAUUAUAUCUCUUCUACCGAUCACAAGAUAGAACCCACAGUCUAACCCCAUCACUGGAUUUCUACGGUCAUAUGGAGAAUUUUAUCUAUUGGGCUCAAAGUCAUAUGAUGAACAAAACUAAAGAAUUAUGCCUAUGCCAUCGAAUCGAAUUCGGUUUUGGACACACACGACCAACGACAGAGAUAGGUUGAAUCAUGAUGUCUACGGGAUGCACUGGGUGAUGACAAGUAAGCAUGCAAAAGGAAUUUGAUAGAGGCUCACCGAGUUUGAUGGAACAGUGCGACGAACUUGAUGAAUAGUGUACGCGGACAUGCAGAAUUCUUCGUGUGUUCUUGACGGAUCGCGUUCCUUCUUCCCUGAAUGGAAUCAUGGUGUCGAGGGGAACCUUCUGGUGCAAGGGCAUGGAUGGGGAGGGCCUGCAUCAACGGGAUGGAGAAUUGGUGUCCAUGGUGCAUCAUUCUUUGGACAGAGUUUCUGGGGACAGAGAGGAAGGGAGAAGGCUGGGUGUCACGAGAAUUGGAAAAGGAGGUGGAGGCGCAUAGCAUGGUGCCUGCAGUUUUGGAAAGGAAUGAGAUUUAAGGGAAGUUAGAGGAGGGUAUGUUUCUCUUCUGUACGUUACGUUUCUAGUCUCUGUAGAUUGUGAACGUAUAGAGGAAGGAAAGAAGAGGAGGCGUGAGAGGAAUAGGAAGGGAGGAGGCAUUAAAGGAAGGUGUAGAGUUUCUAUGUGUGUACGUAGGUGGCAGUUGAGAUUUCAUCUUCUGUGAGUUGUGAACGUACAAGGAGGAGAGGAGUUCGUUGGUUGGGAGAGAUGGGCCACUUCGGCUAGGCCCAUGGGGAAGAAAAAAAUAGAGAAGGAGUGGUUGGCUAGGAAACGGAGAAAAACAAAAUAAAAACAAAAAGAAGAUAUGGGUUUGGCCCAAUUCGGUUGGGAGGAAAAAUGUAGGAUGCGCACACACGGAAGAGAGAAGAUGCUGGGUUGGAAUUCUGUAUAGAGUAUGACAACAAGAAAAAGAAAAUCUAGAAAGAAAUUAAAAGCUUGAAUACAUAUCAAAUGAACUGAGAUAUCCAAGAAAGUGUAGACUCGCAUAUUUAAAUAUGCCGAAGAAAAAUUUAAAAACCAGUUAAAACAAAAGAUCAAAACAC